rnacentral:lncRNA from 1 species
AUAGGCUAAAUGGACGCUUUCCCAUUGCAAUACUAAAUUUGACAAAGUUGUCAUCUUUAGGACUCUAUGACAAUCAGUUCACAGGAACAAUUCCUCAUAACAUCACUUCACUAUCCAAAUUGACGACCUUUGAUGGAAGUAACAACGCUUUCACUGGGACCCUGCCUUCUUCUUUCUUCACCAUUCCUUCUAUGUAUAGUGUUGAUUUGUCUGAUAAUCAAUUCAACGGUAUUCUUGACCUUGGGAAUAUAUCUUCACCACCUCAGCUAGGACUGUUAUACGUUGGCAAUAACAACUUGAGAGGGCCAAUCCCAGCCACGAUAUCAAAAUUUACCAACCUUGUCGAACUUGAGCUUUCCCAUUACAAGACACAAGGUCCAGUUGACUUUAGUAUCUUCUCGCAUCUCAAGUUGCUCCAAGAUCUUGACCUAUCCUAUUUGAACACAACCACUGCCAUUGACUUGAAUGAUUUCUUGUCAUAUUUUAAGCGCCUCGGUGUGUUGGUUCUCUCAGGCAACCAUGUUACAGCCACAAACAAGAGUCCAGUUCCCGUUUCCCCUUUGUUGCAUCAGUUGCACUUGUCGGGCUGCGGUAUCACCAAGCUUCCGGAGUUUGUAAGAUUGAAAAAUUUGGAGAGUCUAGACAUUUCCAACAAUAAAAUCAAAGGGCAAGUGCCUGGCUGGUUAUGGACACUACCAAAGCUGAGUUACCUGGAUCUUUCUAACAACACUUUCACUGGCUUCAAAAGCUCAACGAAACAUGGACUAUCUUUAAAAUAUUUGUUAGCCUCUGACAACAAUUUCACAGGAGAGAUUCCCUCAUUCAUAUGCGAUCUGCGUGGUUUAUUCAUUCUUGAUUUAUCAAACAACAACUUCAGUGGUGUAAUCCCUCCUUGUAUGGAAAAUCUCUAUCUGGCAGUUCUAAAUAACAGCGACUGCUGUAAUUGGGAGGGUAUCACGUGCAACCCCAAUUCCGGUGAAGUGAUCGAGCUAAACCUUAGUUGCAGCAACCUACGUGGCAAGUUUCAUUCUAAAAGCAGUCUUCGAAACCUUCAUUCUCUAACGACUCUACUCCUUUCAAAUAAUGAAUUUAGUGGUCCAAUCAUGUCUUUAAUUGGAAACCUUUCUCAUCUCACCUCUCUGGACCUUUCGCGAAAUGGUUUCAGCGAGUUCAUUCCUUCUUCGAUAGUAGACCUUUCUUAUCUCACCUUUCUCGAUCUUUCAUCUAAUAGUUUUUCUGGUCCGAUUUCGUCUUUGAUUGGAAACCUUUCUUAUCUCACCUUUCUCGAUCUUUCAUCUAAUAGUUUUUCUGGUCCGAUUCCAUCUUCAAUUGGAAAUCUUUCUCAUCUCACCUAUCUUAACCUUAAAGAUAGUGAAAUUUCGGGUACGAUUCCAUCUUCUAUUGGAAAUCUUUAUAACCUCACUUAUCUUGACCUUUCUUACAACAAUAUUGUUGGAGAAAUCCCAUCUUCUUUUGGCAAUCUAAACCAGUUGACCAGCUUAUCUGUUGGUCUCAAUAGGCUAAAUGGACGCUUUCCCAUUGCAAUACUAAAUUUGACAAAGUUGUCAUCUUUAGGACUCUAUGACAAUCAGUUCACAGGAACAAUUCCUCAUAACAUCACUUCACUAUCCAAAUUGACGACCUUUGAUGGAAGUAACAACGCUUUCACUGGGACCCUGCCUUCUUCUUUCUUCACCAUUCCUUCUAUGUAUAGUGUUGAUUUGUCUGAUAAUCAAUUCAACGGUAUUCUUGACCUUGGGAAUAUAUCUUCACCACCUCAGCUAGGACUGUUAUACGUUGGCAAUAACAACUUGAGAGGGCCAAUCCCAGCCACGAUAUCAAAAUUUACCAACCUUGUCGAACUUGAGCUUUCCCAUUACAAGACACAAGGUCCAGUUGACUUUAGUAUCUUCUCGCAUCUCAAGUUGCUCCAAGAUCUUGACCUAUCCUAUUUGAACACAACCACUGCCAUUGACUUGAAUGAUUUCUUGUCAUAUUUUAAGCGCCUCGGUGUGUUGGUUCUCUCAGGCAACCAUGUUACAGCCACAAACAAGAGUCCAGUUCCCG